rnacentral:rRNA from 1 species
AUUGAACGCUGGCGGCAGGCCUAACACAUGCAAGUCGAGCGGAUGAAGGGAGCUUGCUCCUGGAUUCAGCGGCGGACGGGUGAGUAAUGCCUAGGAAUCUGCCUGGUAGUGGGGGAUAACGUCCGGAAACGGGCGCUAAUACCGCAUACGUCCUGAGGGAGAAAGUGGGGGAUCUUCGGACCUCACGCUAUCAGAUAAGCCUAGGUCGGAUUAGCUAGUUGGUGGGGUAAAGGCCCACCAAGGCGACGAUCCGUAACUGGUCUGAGAGGAUGAUCAGUCACACUGGAACUGAGACACGGUCCAGACUCCUACGGGAGGCAGCAGUGGGGAAUAUUGGACAAUGGGCGAAAGCCUGAUCCAGCCAUGCCGCGUGUGUGAAGAAGGUCUUCGGAUUGUAAAGCACUUUAAGUUGGGAGGAAGGGCAGUAAGUUAAUACCUUGCUGUUUUGACGUUACCAACAGAAUAAGCACCGGCUAACUUCGUG